rnacentral:rRNA from 1 species
GGAUAACAGUUAGAAAUGACUGCUAAUACCGCAUAAGCGCACAGGAUUGCAUGAUCCCGUGUGAAAAACUCCGGUGGUAUGAGAUGGACCCGCGUCUGAUUAGCUGGUUGGUGGGGUAACGGCCUACCAAGGCGACGAUCAGUAGCCGACCUGAGAGGGUGACCGGCCACAUUGGGACUGAGACACGGCCCAAACUCCUACGGGAGGCAGCAGUGGGGAAUAUUGCACAAUGGGGGAAACCCUGAUGCAGCAACGCCGCGUGAGUGAAGAAGUAUUUCGGUAUGUAAAGCUCUAUCAGCAGGGAAGAAAAUGACGGUACCUGAGUAAGAAGCCCCGGCUAGCUACGUGCCAGCAGCCGCGGUAAUACGUAGGGGGCAAGCGUUAUCCGGAUUUACUGGGUGUAAAGGGAGCGUAGACGGCGAUGCAAGUCUGAAGUGAAAGCCCGGGGCUCAACCCCGGGACUGCUUUGGAAACUGUAUGGCUGGAGUGCUGGAGAGGCAAGCGGAAUUCCUAGUGUAGCGGUGAAAUGCGUAGAUAUUAGGAAGAACACCAGUGGCGAAGGCGGCUUGCUGGACAGUAACUGACGUUGAGGCUCGAAAGCGUGGGGAGCAAACAGGAUUAGAUACCCUGGUAGUCCACGCUGUAAACG